rnacentral:sRNA from 1 species
UGAUGCCACUUUCUGAGAAGAAAGAUGCUUCAUGCAGGGAGGAAUAUUGAGCUAUAACAUUUUACUGUAUUUCCCAUCUUGGAAAUAAAUUAGACUCUCAUUGAAAUAGAGUCUAUUUCAAUAAUAAUAAGAAAUAAAGGUUCUUAUUAUAUUUUUCUUAAAUUGUAUUUUUACAUCCUUAUUCUUGUUAGCAGAUUGCUUUUUGUAUUAAUCUGUUUUCACACUGCUAUAAAGAAAUACCCAAGGCCUGGUGUGGUGGCUCAUGCCUGUAAUCCCAACACUUCGGGAGGCCAAAGCAGGAGGAUUGCUUGAGCUCAGGAGUUUGAGACCAGCCUGGGCAACAUGGAGAAACCCCAUAUCUAUAAAAAAAAAUACAAAAAUAAUCUGGGUGUGGUGGCACACACCUGUAGUCCCAGCUACUCAGGAGGCUGAGGCAGGAGGAUUGCUUGAGCUUGGGAGGCGGAGUUUGCAGUGAGCUGAGAUUGCGCCACUGAACUCCAGCCUGGACAACAGAGCAAGACCCUGUCUCAAAAAAAGAAAUACCUGAAACUGGUCACGGAACAGCAAAUUUCUGAGA